UUUAUUUUGAUUUGCACUUUGGCUAGGUUCCUCAAUGAAACGGAGGGAAAAUUAGAUUUAGCCAGUCGGGCAUCUCAUCAAUGACGAAAUUUAAGCAGAUGGCAGAGGAGGGCGGAUCAUCUCACAGCUGCAUGCAAGCUUGACACGCCAUGGGUGGUGGGAUUCCACUAAAAAUGCACUCGUGAUGAUGUGGCAACAUUCCAGCCCUAGCAUGGAUGCAUGGUCUAAUUAAAGGAGUUGGGCAAUUCGAGGAAGGGUUGCUAUUGUGCACCAUUGUCGAAUCUCUGCUACAAGGUUGAGUAGUUCAACCCAAAAGUUCUUAAGAGGAAAGGAGUAACCAACCAUCGUUAGAUAUCCUUUGGAAACAUAAUUUGCAAAAUGCAUAAGAUGCAAUCAACCAUUUUAGAUGUUUAUUGGGAUAAAGGAGGAUUCUUAUUAUUAGUGGGCCGAGAAUUAGGGUAAAAGCUUCGUAAAGCUUAUACGCUGAGAAUUAUUCUUAUGUUCUAAAAAUUCUUUCUAUAUUUUUGCAAUAUAUUUGAAAUCAAAUUCAUUGUUGGAU